rnacentral:rRNA from 1 species
CCUACGGGCGGCAGCAGUGGGGAAUAUUGGACAAUGGGGGCAACCCUGAUCCAGCCAUGCCGCGUGUGUGAAGAAGGCCCUCGGGGUGUAAAGCACUUUCAGUGAGGAAGAACGCCUGGUGGUUAAUACCCAUCAGGAAAGACAUCACUCACAGAAGAAGCACCGGCUAACUCCGUGCCAGCAGCCGCGGUAAUACGGAGGGUGCGAGCGUUAAUCGGAAUUACUGGGCGUAAAGCGCGCGUAGGUGGCUUGAUAAGCCGGUUGUGAAAGCCCCGGGCUCAACCUGGGAACGGCAUCCGGAACUGUCAAGCUAGAGUGCAGGAGAGGAAGGUAGAAUUCCCGGUGUAGCGGUGAAAUGCGUAGAGAUCGGGAGGAAUACCAGUGGCGAAGGCGGCCUUCUGGACUGACACUGACACUGAGGUGCGAAAGCGUGGGUAGCAAACAGGAUUAGAUACCCUGGUAGUC